rnacentral:rRNA from 1 species
UUUACUCUACGGGAGGCAGCAGUGGGGAAUAUUGCACAAUGGGCGCAAGCCUGAUGCAGCGACGCCGCGUGAGGGAUGACGGCCUUCGGGUUGUAAACCUCUUUCAGUAGGGAAGAAGCGAAAGUGACGGUACCUGCAGAAGAAGCGCCGGCUAACUACGUGCCAGCAGCCGCGGUAAUACGUAGGGCGCAAGCGUUAUCCGGAAUUAUUGGGCGUAAAGAGCUCGUAGGCGGUUUGUCGCGUCUGCCGUGAAAGUCCGGGGCUCAACUCCGGAUCUGCGGUGGGUACGGGCAGACUAGAGUGAUGUAGGGGAGACUGGAAUUCCUGGUGUAGCGGUGAAAUGCGCAGAUAUCAGGAGGAACACCGAUGGCGAAGGCAGGUCUCUGGGCAUUAACUGACGCUGAGGAGCGAAAGCAUGGGGAGCGAACAGGAUUAGAUACCCUGGUAGUCCAUGCCGUAAACGUUGGGCACUAGGUGUGGGGGACAUUCCACGUUUUCCGCGCCGUAGCUAACGCAUUAAGUGCCCCGCCUGGGGAGUACGGCCGCAAGGCUAAAACUCAAAGGAAUUGACGGGGGCCCGCACAAGCGGCGGAGCAUGCGGAUUAAGUCGAUGCAACGCGAAGAACCUUACCAAGGCUUGACAUGGACCGGACCGCCGCAGAAAUGUGUUUCCCCUUGG